CCGAGUUUACAACUCCCAAACCCCUGUGAACAUACCACUUGUUGCCUCGGCGGAUCAGCCCGCUCCCGGUAAAACGGGACGGCCCGCCAGAGAACCCCUAAACUCUGUUUCUAUAUGUAACUUCUGAGUAAAACCAUAAAUAAAUCA
rnacentral:misc_RNA from 1 species